rnacentral:lncRNA from 1 species
CACCAUUUAGCCCUCUACAUAAUCCAAUCAUGCCAGGGGCGUAGUGCAGGCCACACCUGGUCUUUCUCUUAUACAUAACAUAACAUACAUAAUCCAUGGUGCCGGGGGCGUAGUGCAGGCCACGUCCGGUCUUUCUCUUACAUAGUGCCAGGGGCGUAGUGCAGGCCACACCUGGACUUCCAUAUCAUAUCAUCGCGUCAUAACAUAUGAGGGCUAAUGGAUCAUUCAACAUUCAUCCACAUCAACAACAUAUUAUGCAAUGC